rnacentral:tRNA from 1 species
GGGUUUGUAGUGUAGUGGUAUCGCGCUUCAUUUGGGCGUUGAAGAGGUCCCGCGUUCGAUCCGCGGCUGACCCC